rnacentral:tRNA from 1 species
GGAGAGAUGGCCGAGUUGGCUUAAGGCGCACGCUUGGAAAGCGUGUGUAGGUUAACCCCUACCCAGGGUUCGAAUCCCUGUUUCUCCGCCA